CUUCCCGACAACUUGUACAGCUCCAUGUUGAAACGACAACGGCGAGCGUGGAGGUUGCAGUUGCACGCUGCGAAGACAGGAGGAAAGUUUUAUUCAUGCACGAGUUCACAGAGGAGAACCAUAGCAGAAAGACGACACGCUUUUCUAGAUGUGGAGGGAAUCUGAUGGUACUGGAAACGUUGCAGAUAUUCUCUGAUCUCCCAGAAGCUGGCUCGUGGCUCAGAGUUCAGCUCAAAGACGCAUGAAGCUCGUUUCUCACGUUGUCGUGGAAACAAACACAAGCUUCAGUCUUGGCAAAAGGAAAAGAUGCUGAGACAAAACGGGAGACGACGAGCAGAGAGGAGGAAAAUAUUAGAGAAGAAAAGCGUUUCACCACCUUGUCAUUGAACUGACGUUGCCAAAUAGUAAUUGUUUUAGGGGAAACUUCCCUAAUCUGUAAUUGUUAUUUUUAAAAUUUUAGUUUUUAAAAUGUCAGAAUUUCCUCCACACUUCUUAUUUUUCUCAGUCUGAUGUCAUCAUUUCUAAAAGUUAAAUCAAGUGUUGUGAUCAAA